UUGUUUGUUUUUCUUUCCAUGCAGCGAGGACAGAAUACAGAUAGUGGGAGCAUCUGCCGUGAAGCCUCCUUUGAAGGAAUUAGUGGGUUCCAAGUGAACAACACUCUCUUACACCCAGUCAUUGUGGAAUGCCGUCUCAUUAAGAACGAUAUGGAGCUGGAGGUCCUCCGCUACACCAACAGGAUUUCCAGCGAAGCCCAAAAAAUAGUGAGAUC